GACUGCCCCCAUCUCAACAGAGUUAUACGGCAACUACGACCGAUUCGCCAAGUACGACUGCCCCCAUCUCUACAGAUAUAAUCCGUGAGUUCUACGGCAGCUACGACCGAUUCGCCAAGUACGACUGCCCCCAUCUCUCCAGAUUAAUCCGUGAUUUCUACGGCAACUACGACCGAUUCACCAAGUACG